rnacentral:rRNA from 1 species
AUUGAACGCUGGCGGCAUGCCUUACACAUGCAAGUCGAACGGCAGCACGGACUUCGGUCUGGUGGCGAGUGGCGAACGGGUGAGUAAUAUAUCGGAACAUACCCUAGAGUGGGGGAUAACGUAGCGAAAGUUACGCUAAUACCGCAUACGAACUAAGGUUGAAAGCGGGGGAUCUUCGGACCUCGUGCUCAUGGAGUGGCCGAUAUCUGAUUAGCUAGUUGGUGAGGUAAAGGCUCACCAAGGCGACGAUCAGUAGCUGGUUUGAGAGAACGACCAGCCACACUGGAACUGAGACACGGUCCAGACUCCUACGGGAGGCAGCAGUGGGGGAAUUUUGGACAAUGGGCGCGAGCCUGAUCCAGCAAUGCCGCGUGAGUGAAGAAGGCCUCGGUUGUUAAGACGUACUUUGUUCUAGGGAAGGAAACGGUA